UACGGAGGGUGCAAGCGUUAUCCGGAUUCACUGGGUUUAAAGGGUGCGCGGGCGGAUUGGUAAGUCAGUGGUGAAAUCUUUGAGCUUAACUUGGGAACUGCCAUUGAUACUAUCAGUCUUGAAUAUUGUUGAGGUUUGCGGAAUGGGUCAUGUAGCGGUGAAAUGCAUAGAUAUGACCCGGAACACCUAUUGCGAAGGCAGCAGGCUAAACAAAGAUUGACGCUGAGGCUCGAAAGCGUGGGGAUCAAACAGG
rnacentral:rRNA from 1 species